rnacentral:rRNA from 1 species
UACAAAGGGGGCUAGCGUUGUUCGGAAUCACUGGGCGUAAAGCGCACGUAGGCGGAUCUUUAAGUCAGAGGUGAAAUCCCAAGGCUCAACCUUGGAACUGCCUUUGAUACUGGGGAUCUUGAGUCCGGGAGAGGUGAGUGGAACUGCGAGUGUAGAGGUGAAAUUCGUAGAUAUUCGCAAGAACACCAGUGGCGAAGGCGGCUCACUGGCCCGGUACUGACGCUGAGGUGCGAAAGCGUGGGGAGCAAACAGG